rnacentral:rRNA from 1 species
CACGUAGGGUGCGAGCGUUGUCCGGAAUUAUUGGGCGUAAAGAGCUCGUAGGCGGUGUGUCGCGUCGGCCGUGAAAACCUGCAGCUUAACUGUGGGCUUGCGGUCGAUACGGGCAUCACUGGAGUUCGGCAGGGGAGACUGGAAUUCCUGGUGUAGCGGUGAAAUGCGCAGAUAUCAGGGGGAACACCGGUGGCGAAGGCGGGUCUCUGGGCCGAUACUGACGCUGAGGAGCGAAAGCGUGGGGAGCGAACGGG